rnacentral:rRNA from 1 species
AUUGAACGCUGGCGGCAUGCUUUACACAUGCAAGUCGAACGGCAGCGCGGGCUUCGGCCUGGCGGCGAGUGGCGAACGGGUGAGUAAUGCAUCGGAACGUGCCCAGUAGUGGGGAAUAGCCCGGCGAAAGCCGGAUUAAUACCGCAUACGACCUGAGGGUGAAAGCGGGGGACCGAAAGGCCUCGCGCUAUUGGAGCGGCCGAUGUCGGAUUAGCUAGUUGGUGGGGUAAAGGCUUACCAAGGCGACGAUCCGUAGCUGGUCUGAGAGGACGACCAGCCAAACUGGGACUGAGACACGGCCCAGACUCCUACGGGAGGCAGCAGUGGGGAAUUUUGGACAAUGGGGGCAACCCUGAUCCAGCCAUGCCGCGUGCGGGAAGAAGGCCUUCGGGUUGUAAACCGCUUUUGUUCGGGAAGAAAUCCUCUGGGCUAAUACCCCGGGGGGAUGACGGUACCGGAAGAAUAAGCACCGGCUAAAUACGUG